CCUUGGGGGGAAGGAGGAAACAAAAACUCCAAUUCCUAACCUUACCUUCAAUCUCAUAUAACUUUCAAUCCAGAGUUCCGAUUGCCUUACCGUUUGUGGCCAUGUGACCACCGCGUUGAGCUCUACAAAAUCUACUAAACAAUUUGGGCCGAAUUAACCUUGGAGACUCACUGCUGGGUCUUGUCUCAAACGAUUGUUGGUAAGAGCGAGAUAUAUGUUUUGAGAGGCAAAUUUGGUGAUAUCAGUGACUAGAAAGUGAAUCGUGGAAGUUGGAUUUUCGUUCAGUGAGGCUUCGGGGUUUUUGAUACGCUGUAUAGCUUUCAGAUUUUGACUAUUCGAGGUAAGGGCACUUUUCUUAAACUCAUUUUAUUUCUGAGAAUUGUUAUAAAUCGAUAUUGAUGCAAAAAUAUAUUUUGGUGAUUAUGUGAGUCUUAUGGAUUGAACUGAGUUGCUCUAGAUAAUUGUGAUUGUUUGCCUGGUGGAAUUGUUGACUGUUUGAGAAGGUUGAAUAUUUUGAGUGAUUGAUUUUGUUAAAGUGGCGGUUGCUA